GCCGAGAUAGCUCAGGGGUAGAGCGCGUCCUUGGUAAGGACGAGGUCGUGGGUUCAAUUCCCAUUCUUGGCU
rnacentral:tRNA from 1 species